rnacentral:rRNA from 1 species
UUAGAAGCAGCCAUCCUUUAAAGAAAGCGUAACAGCUCACUGGUCUAGUGGUCAUGCGCUGAAAAUAUAACGGGGCUAAGAUAGACACCGAAUUUGUAGAUUGUGUUUGACACAGUGGUAGAAGAGCGUUCAUACCAGCGUUGAAGGUAUACCGGUAAGGAGUGCUGGAGCGGUAUGAAGUGAGCAUGCAGGAAUGAGUAACGAUAAGAUAUAUGAGAAUUGUAUCCGCCGUAAAUCUAAGGUUUCCUACGCGAUGGUCGUCAUCGUAGGGUUAGUCGGGUCCUAAGCCGAGUCCGAAAGGGGUAGGUGAUGGCAAAUUGGUUAAUAUUCCAAUACCGACUUAUGGAGCGUGAUGGGGGGACGCAUAGGGUUAAGCGAGCUAGCUGAUGGAAGCGCUAGUCUAAGGGCGUAGAUUGGAGGGAAGGCAAAUCCACCUCUGUAUUUGAAACCCAAACAGGCUCUUUGAGUCCUUUCAGGACAAAGGGAGAAUCGCUGAUACCGUCGUGCCAAGAAAAGCCUCUAAGCAUAUCCAUAGUCGUCCGUACCGCAAACCGACACAGGUAGAUGAGAUGAGUAUUCUAAGGCGCGUGAAAGAACUCUGGUUAAGGAACUCUGCAAACUAGCACCGUAAGUUCGCGAUAAGGUGUGCCACAGCGAUGUGGUCUCAGCAAAGAGUCCCUCCCGACUGUUUACCAAAAACACAGCACUUUGCCAACUCGUAAGAGGAAGUAUAAGGUGUGACGCCUGCCCGGUGCUCGAAGGUUAAGAGGAUGCGUCAGUCGCAAGAUGAAGCGUUGAAUUGAAGCCCGAGUAAACGGCGGCCGUAACUAUAACGGUCCUAAGGUAGCGAAAUUCCUUGUCGGUUAAAUACCGACCUGCAUGAAUGGCGUAACGAGAUGGGAGCUGUCUCAACCAGAGAUUCAGUGAAAUUGUAGUGGAGGUGAAAAUUCCUCCUACCCGCGGCAAGACGGAAAGACCCCGUGGACCUUUACUACAACUUAGCACUGCUAAUGGGAAUAUCAUGCGCAGGAUAGGUGGGAGGCUUUGAAGUAAGGGCUUUGGCUCUUAUGGAGCCAUCCUUGAGAUACCACCCUUGAUGUUUCUGUUAGCUAACUGGCCUGUGUCAUCCACAGGCAGGACAAUGCUUGGUGGGUAGUUUGACUGGGGCGGUCGCCUCCUAAAAAGUAACGGAGGCUUGCAAAGGUUGGCUCAUUGCGGUUGGAAAUCGCAAGUUGAGUGUAAUGGCACAAGCCAGCCUGACUGUAAGACAUACAAGUCAAGCAGAGACGAAAGUCGGUCAUAGUGAUCCGGUGGUUCUGUGUGGAAGGGCCAUCGCUCAAAGGAUAAAAGGUACCCCGGGGAUAACAGGCUGAUCUCCCCCAAGAGCUCACAUCGACGGGGAGGUUUGGCACCUCGAUGUCGGCUCAUCGCAUCCUGGGGCUGGAGCAGGUCCCAAGGGUAUGGCUGUUCGCCAUUUAAAGCGGUACGCGAGCUGGGUUCAGAACGUCGUGAGACAGUUCGGUCCCUAUCUGCCGUGGGCGUAGGAAAGUUGAGGAGAGCUGUCCCUAGUACGAGAGGACCGGGAUGGACGUGUCACUGGUGCACCAGUUGUUCUGCCAAGAGCAUCGCUGGGUAGCUACACACGGAUGUGAUAACUGCUGAAAGCAUCUAAGCAGGAAGCCAACUCCAAGAUAAACUUUCCCUGAAGCUCGCACAAAGACUAUGUGCUUGAUAGGGUAGAUGUGUGAGCGCAGUAAUGCGUUUAGCUGACUACUACUAAUAGAGCGUUUGGCUUGUUUUU